CCCGCUCCUCCCUCCCUCUGCAGCUCAUGAGGUUAACCCAGGCGAGUGUCAGAGGCUUCCCUCCCUCGACAGCCGAGUGGGCACCACUGAGGCCUGGAAAAGUUUUCCUCUGGGGAAAAUCCCUCCGCAGUCCUCCAAGCCGGUGUCAGAGGCCGGCCCUUGGCAUAUAUAUUGCAUGGAGGAGUAAGGUAGAAAAUAUUCUUUAUGAAGGCAAGAAGUUUCUGAAGAGAAAGGAGAUGAGAAGACAUCUUCCCAAACUCAGGGCUUGGAUGCUACAAGAGUGUGCCAGCUGCCUGAGUGGUUGCUGAGACUUGCUGAUCCUGGUUACAUGAAGAUUCAGCUCUCGUGGUUCGGGUCCCUGGAGUCAUUCCUCUGCCCUGAGAGGAAGAUAGAAGAUUCCCCUUCACCUUUUGUCAUCACAGAGAUUUUGCCGUUGCUGCAGUCAGUGUUACCGCUACGUGUGUCCCGUCCCACUAUGGCUCGCUCUCUGACCCUCUGUGCACUGCUGCUUGCUGGAGAAGACUGGACUCCAGCCGUUGCUGCCCCCCUCAUUCCCUGGUGACUCUUACUGCCUUAACUGGUCAUUUUACAGACUGUAGCUUCACAGGAAUGCUACCUGCGUAAAGAUGCUGUGGACUGGGGAACUCUGCCCUGGUUGUACAGAUCGCAGAAAUAGUUCCAUUGUCUGCUGGUUGUUCCAGAGAAAAAUGACUGAUCCUGAACUGUCCUGGAAAAGACCUUGACACUUUCGCUGCUAUUGUAGCAGCCAUUACUGCUGCAGACAUUGUGUCUGCAGUGUCUGGAGUUAUCCUCCCCCAAUCUAUUGUUAGACAAGCACAGUGGAUAAACUUUCUGGAGUAGUUACUAACAAUUGGAAAUUCUAAAUUCUAUUAUAGGAGCAGCUUGACUACGGCCCUUGGUGGUAACAGCUGAGGUGAACUAGAUGAGGUGCCCACUACUUAUCAGGAGUGGCUCUGUUUGGUGCAGCCCUAUGCUGUGGAUUAGUGUUCAUACUAUGGUUGGUUUGCAAACUCAGAUCUCAACAGAAACGUGACAAGGCCGUUAUCACUCAAGCACUUGUGGCCAUUGUACAAGGGGCCUCCCCUGGAAUUUGGUUAUCUAUGCUCAGGAAUUAGUCGGUAUCUGAGUUCUCUGCUCUUGCACCCCAUGGAUCUGUGGAUCCUGCACUGGGAUGAGAGAGACUCUCUCUCGGUAUCUGAGUUCUCUGCUCUUGCACCCCAUGGAUCUGUGGAUCCAUUGCACUGGGAUGAGAGAGACUUAAUGAUCCUUUGAUCAGCCCUUCCACAUCGCUGAGGUUUCCGAUAGGGUGAUCAGGACUGUUAUAAAAUAAUAUAAAAUAAAUCAGGACUGCUAUAAAAUAAAUAGGGGGAGAUGUAGAGGGCCGCAAUAACAUUUGCCACUACUAGAUGGCGCUGGCUUCCACUGCGCCCCACGUGGAAGGCUGAGCUAGACAAGAUGGAGCUGGCCUCCGCCCCGCCAGUCGACUUCCUUUCAGGAAGUUAACUGUGUGCGCAUGUGCAAGAGUGCCUUUGUGCCAGGUCUUUGCCCAUUCCGGGGCGUGCCUUAUGAGAUCAUGGGUAAGUGACCAAUCAGGUGUGGAUGCGCCGCGCUAGGGUGUAUAUAGCCGCACCAUGCAGGCGCGCGGGGACUUCUCCUUAAGAUAUUAAUAAAGUUUGGUCGCAGCUAGGA